AACGAACGCUGGCGGCAGGCUUAACACAUGCAAGUCGAACGCUCGUAGCAAUACGGGAGUGGCGGACGGGUGAGUAACGCGUGGGAACGUGCCCUGAGGUACGGAAUAACUGAGGGAAACUUCAGCUAAUACCGUAUGAGCCCCGAGAGGGGGAAAGAUUUAUCGCCUUGGGAGCGGCCCGCGUCGGAUUAGCUAGUUGGUGGGGUAACGGCCUACCAAGGCUUCGAUCCGUAGCUGGUCUGAGAGGACGAUCAGCCACACUGGGACUGAGACACGGCCCAGACUCCUACGGGAGGCAGCAGUGGGGAAUCUUGCGCAAUGGGGGCAGCCCUGACGCAGCCAUGCCGCGUGAACGAUGAAGGCCUUAGGGUUGUAAAGUUCUUUUACCCGUGACGAUGAUGACGGUAACGGGGAAUAAGCUCCGGCUAACUUCGUGCCAGCAGCCGCGGUAAU
rnacentral:rRNA from 1 species